CUCGGCAAACGCAGCGACAUGAUGCGGGACAAAUGCCUGAAUAUAGAUACAUCCAAUGGAUGUGUCUCUGAUGAGCAAAUGCAAUUAUGUGGCAGGGCAAUGGGAGCUGGGUGGAGUUGAGGCUGCUGGGUAAUGAAUAGAGCCACGAAAUAGAGCAACUCCUUCGAGUUCCCUCUCGACGGUCCUGCUCUGCAUCUGUGUGUUUGCAUGUGGAAAACCACACUGAUGACAGACAAGCCACGGCAGAGAAAGCCAAAGGAUAACAUGAGAUAACACACAUCAAAAGCCACUCAGACACCCACACACGUACAGCAGGGGCUGGGAAUAUAGGACGGGUUUUGAGAGUGCUAUCUUUUUGGAGUGUCCUGUGGAUGCACGCAUAUGUGCGCCCAACCCAGCUGCUCGUGAUCCUUUGGGCGACGAGAAAUCAGCGCUCAAAUAUGAUUAAUAAGUAAUUUCUUUGUCAACAAGUGACUGGGGAUGGCCUGCAAUGACGACAACGGCGAUAACGACAACGAGAACGGAACGACGCCCUGGAAAUCUUUAAUAAAAUACAUGCAUAAAUAAAUUAUAGGGCAAACAGAGGAAGCAGGCGAGGAAAACAAACUGGGUGGACAUGAACUGCUCUGAAUGGAGGCGAACUGCUCCAUUUGUUGACGUCACACGCACAGAGCACGUGUGUGUGUGUGUGUGUGUGUGGGCACACGCUGACUCUGAGAUAGCAGGGCAUAUUGACUGGCUGGAACGGAAGGCCGCCAUAGUCAGGUGCUCAAAUUUCUGAAUUCUAUUUGAAAUAAAAUACCUUUAAUCU